GACGAACGCUGGCGGCGUGCUUAACACAUGCAAGUCGAACGGUAAGGCCCCUACGGGGGUACACGAGUGGCGAACGGGUGAGUAACACGUGAGCAACCUGCCCUUGACUCUGGAAUAACAGUUGGAAACAGCUGCUAAUACUGGAUAUUCAUCGUCUCCUUCCUGGGGGGUGGUGGAAAGCUCCGGCGGUCAGGGAUGGGCUCGCGGCCUAUCAGCUUGUUGGUGAGGUAAUGGCUCACCAAGGCUUCGACGGGUAGCCGGCCUGAGAGGGCGACCGGCCACACUGGGACUGAGAUACGGCCCAGACUCCUACGGGAGGCAGCAGUGGGGAAUAUUGCACAAUGGGCGCAAGCCUGAUGCAGCAACGCCGCGUGCGGGAUGACGGCCUUCGGGUUGUAAACCGCUUUCAGUAGGGACGAAGGGUGACUGACGGUACCUACAGAAGAAGGACCGGCUAACUACGUG
rnacentral:rRNA from 1 species